AUACGGAAGGUCCGGGCGUUAUCCGGAUUUAUUGGGUUUAAAGGGAGCGUAGGCCGGAGAUUAAGCGUGUUGUGAAAUGUAGAUGCUCAACAUCUGAACUGCAGCGCGAACUGGUUUCCUUGAGUACGCACAAAGUGGGCGGAAUUCGUGGUGUAGCGGUGAAAUGCUUAGAUAUCACGAAGAACUCCGAUUGCGAAGGCAGCUCACUGGAGCGCAACUGACGCUGAAGCUCGAAAGUGCGGGUAUCGAACAGGAUUAGAUACCCUGGUAGUCCGCACGGUAAACGAUGGAUGCCCGCUGUUGGUCUGAAUAGGUCAGCGGCCAAGCGAAAGCAUUAAGCAUCCCACCUGGGGAGUACGCCGGCAACGGUGAAACUCAAAGGAAUUGACGGGGGCCCGCACAAGCGGAGGAACAUGUGGUUUAAUUCGAUGAUACGCGAGGAACCUUACCCGGGCUUGAAUUGCAGAGGAAGGAUUUGGAGACAAUGACGCCCUUCGGGGCCUCUGUGAAGGUGCUGCAUGGUUGUCGUCAGCUCGUGCCGUGAGGUGUCGGCUUAAGUGCCAUAACGAGCGCAACCCCUCUCCUUAGUUGCCAUCAGGUGAAGCUGGGCACUCUGGGGACACUGCCACCGUAAGGUGUGAGGAAGGUGGGGAUGACGUCAAAUCAGCACGGCCCUUACGUCCGGGGCUACACACGUGUUACAAUGGCAGGUACAGAGAGACGGUCCCUUGCAAAACGGAUCAAAUCCUUAAAGCCUGUCUCAGUUCGGACUGGGGUCUGCAACCCGACCCCACGAAGCUGGAUUCGCUAGUAAUCGCGCAUCAGCCAUGGCGCGGUGAAUACGUUCCCGGGCCUUGUACACACCGCCCGUCAAGCCAUGAAAGCCGGGGGCGCCUAAAGUCCGUGACCGUAAGGAGCGGCCUAGGGCGAAACUGGUAAUUGGGGCU
rnacentral:rRNA from 1 species